CCAGGGCUGCACGCCGCCAACAACACACGCCGACAGUGUCGCGCACCGGCCAGAGACGCACGCCACCAGGGCUGCUGGCCGGAUCUCCAUCGACACCGCCCCUCAGGCCAUGGAUGCAAUGGCGUGGGCCUAAAAGGCAGCCAUAGGAGGGCUUGAGAUGCGGCGGCCGACGCGGGUUUGGGAUGUGGCGGCUGCAGCUUCCAUGACGACGGCCACUAGGUCGCCAAGGCUGCCGGCCACCAGGCUCACAGGUGUCGUUACGUACAAGAUGAUUUUUGGCUUCGGCUGAUUUGCUAAACCCAGUUCUAUGGGAAGCUGAAAGAUGUAAAAUUUCUCCUCAAGACUUGUGAUUAGUUGGUAGUGUAGCAUUGUGUGCUAAUUUAAUUUGAUUCUUCACUUCAGGAUUUGUGCACAAUUUCUAUUGUGGGAUUUCUUUAUCUAUUUACUGGAACAGUUGUAGUCGUUUGUUAGCACGACAAUAUAACUUUUAAGGUUUUGCCACAAGAAACGUUUUGUUUAAUAUUCCUCACUUAUGUUAUCUUGGGUUUCACUAAUGCCAUUUACAAAUUUGAUCUGGUGACAUUUCUUCAUAAAGAGAUGCAGAAGAAUAUCCAAAUUUCCUAUUCCAUUUGUACUGAAUAUUUGGUUGGAAAAUGUCGAUGUAAUCAGAAUGAAAUGUUGCCACUAAUUAUCAAUACUCCUAGCUGGGUCAUGCAAGAGCUGAUUUGCUUGGUCAUGCAAGAGCUGAUUUGCUUGGUCUUACCACUUACUUGAUUAAGUGAUGUUUUCUUUUUUGUAUUUUAUUUAAUGCAGGUGGUGGUUUUGAUAUGCUCAUAGAGAUGCUAAGGUAUAUAUGACCCUGAUGGAAUGUUUUGGCUAGAUUGUGGGCAUGCAGGACUUAAAAUGAUUAACAAGAUAUCAAAAGGCUUUGCUUUUUUUAUCUUUCACAUAGAAGCAAGAUGCACAAAGGUUUGUCUCAGUUAGAGUGCCUUGAUAGCUUGUCUCAGUCCUUCCUGUGAUCCAUGUGUUGCAGCCUGUCGUACUUGGGCCUUUUUUUUGUCUGGUUCAUGGUUUAGGGUCUCUUCUCUUUCUCAGUUUAUUUGUUUAUUUUUUGGUAGUUGAUAUCAUGCUUCAUAAUUAUUGAUUACCCAAGUUCCAAGCUUGCAGGGAACUAGCAAAAAACAUAACGGGCAAGUUAUCUGUAAGUAAUUAGCCGUUUUUCUUUCAAUCAAACUGAAGAAAUUUGAAACCUUCUUAUAGUUGUUUUGUUUCUUGAAAUAAUUGACGCUAGGUAUGUCUUUCCGUUUAUUUAUAAUAUAAUUUGCUAUUGGCAAGUUAUCAAGCCUGUAACACUGAUGCCUCAUAAGUCCAUAAUGUCUGGAAUAACAAGAGCAACUCAUGAAACCUAUAAUAAUUAACUAAAACCACAUAUUUUGUUAUGGUAUUUUUUAGGAGCAUUAUGACUAUGUCAAGCCUAUAAUGUUGAUUGGUUCAGGGGGAAAGGUUAUCCAUUGGUAUGUUUAUCAUGGUUUUUUUUGGCAGCAACCGGCAAGAACUCAUCAGCUUUUGGUUCAGCUGAUAUUGAAUAAGCUAGAAAGCAAUAUUGAGAAGUUUACUUUUGUAUAUGGUUAUCUAGGAUUACCAAGUUCACAUUGAUUUUGUAUUCUACCUGUUUGCUUCAUCUCUAUCCACUAACCCCCUAUUUCCAUACAAAUGUUGAUUCUAUAACUUUUCAAUUAGUUUGCAAGUGUGCUGAUAUAGCAGAACAACUAACUGAGAUGCCAUUUGCAGAGUCUAUAACUUUUCCAUAUCUCUAUGCCACAACAUACUGAUAUAGCAGAGUCUGCUGGAGGUCUAGCUGUAGAUGCCAUUUGCAAGUGUGACAUGUAAGUGUUAUUCUUGCAGGCAUUAAGCAGAGCAGUUGCUAGGCUAGCCUGACUAAGGCAUGGUUUAGAGGACUGAAACUUCAGUUUAUCAAAUUGGACAGGCAUGGUUCAGGGAAGUUAUAGAAGAAGAGUCCUCGAUGACCUCUUCCCUUGAGCAAGUGCUUCAAUGCAAUUCUGAAGGGGAGUUCCUUGAGCUUGUGACUAUGGCCUUGGAUUUUUGCCACUGAACUGUAUGACAUGAUGCAUAGCUGGUACUUUCAUGGUUGUUUCCAUGCAUGGUUCACAAACUGAAAACUCACAAAUUAUUACCUUUAUAGGAAUAUUGAAAUAUGAAUUGGCAAGAAGGAAAUCAAGGGUAGCAAAAGAAGGUCGCCAAGAGCUUUGUUCUCUGUUUGGAGUUCAAUAUCACUAACUGAAAAUAUUUGAAAACGUUGUUAUUAAUUCAUAGCUACCUUGUGAGGUUAUGAUGAGUGAAUGCUUAUCUCCCUUUUUGCAAACUGAAAGCUAUUACUUAGUUGUGCAUGCUGUUGUAGUUCUACACAUUCUGAAUUGUAAACAUGGAUGUUUUGUAACUUGUUGAUUUAGUUAUCAUGAUGCCGUAAAACUUCCU